rnacentral:rRNA from 1 species
CCUACGGGUGGCAGCAGUGAGGAAUAUUGGUCAAUGGCCGCAAGGCUGAACCAGCCAAGUCGCGUGAGGGAUGACGGUCCUAUGGAUUGUAAACCUCUUUUGUCAGGGAGCAAAGGGAGCCACGUGUGGCGCUUUGCGAGUACCUGAAGAAAAAGCAUCGGCUAACUCCGUGCCAGCAGCCGCGGUAAUACGGAGGAUGCGAGCGUUAUCCGGAUUUAUUGGGUUAAAGGGGUGCGCAGGCGGAAUGUAAAGUGUGCGGUAAAAUUUCGGGGCUCAACCCCGUGGGGCCGUUGAAACUGGCGGUCUUGAGUGAGCGAGAAGCAUGCGGAAUGCGUGGUGUAGCGGUGAAAUGCUUAGAUAUCACGCAGAACUCCGAUUGCGAAGGCAGCAUACCGGCGCUCAACUGACGCUCAUGCACGAAAGCGUGGGUAUCGAACAGGAUUAGAUACCCGUGUAGUC